AGAGUUUGAUCCUGGCUCAGGACCAACGCUGGCGGCGUGCGUGACACAUGCAAGUCGGACGCGCGGGGGGCAACCUCUGGCGCGUGGCGGACGGGUGAGGAACACGUGAGGAACCUGGCCUUGAGUGGGGGAUAACUGUCAGAAAUGAGAGCUAAUCCCGCAUACGGCCGUCCGGGGAGGGCCGGACGGAGAAAGCCUGCGAGGGCGCUCAAGGAGGGGCUUGCGGCCGAUUAGCUAGUUGGUGUGGUAAGAGCGCACCAAGGCGACGAUCGGUAGCUGGUCUGAGAGGACGAACAGCCACACUGGGAUUGAGAACGGCCCAGACUCCUACGGGGGGCAGCAGUGAGGAAUCUUCGGCAAUGGGGGCAACCCUGACCGAGCGACGCCGCGUGCGGGAAGACGGCCUUCGGGUUGUAAACCGCUUUUCUGGGGGACGAGAGAACGGACGGUACCCCAGGAAGAAGCCUCGGCUAACUACGUGCCAGCAGCCGCGGUAAUACGUAGGAGGCGAGCGUUGUCCGGAGUUACUGGGCGUAAAGGGUGCGCAGGCGGCGUUCCGCGUGGCGAGAUGAAAUCUCCUGGCUUACCUGGGAGGGUGGUCGCCAGACGGGAGCGCUUGAGGGUCGGAGAGGGGCGUGGAAUUCCGGGUGGAGCGGUGAAAUGCGUAGAGAUCCGGAGGAACACCGACGGCGUAGGCAGCGCCCUGGACGACACCUGACGCUGAGGCACGAAAGCUGGGGGAGCGAACAGGAUUAGAUACCCUGGUAGUCCCAGCCCUAAACGAUGUCCACCAGGUACCGGGGGGAUCGACCCCUUCGGCGCCGCAGCUAACGUGAUGAGUGGACCGCCUGGGGAGUACGGCCGCAAGGUUGAAACUCAAAGGAAUUGACGGGGGCCCGCACAAGCAGCGGAGCGUGUGGUUUAAUUCGAUGCAACGCGAAGAACCUUACCUGCGCUUGACAUGGCAUUGCACCACCCGUAAUGGGGUGUCCUCUUCGGAGGCGGUGCCACAGGUGCUGCAUGGCUGUCGUCAGCUCGUGCCGUGAGGUGUUGGGUUAAGUCCCCUAACGAGCGCAACCCCUGAGGUCCGUUACCUUGGUGUCGGGCCUGACUGCCGCGCGCAACGCGGAGGAAGGUGGGGAUGACGUCAAGUCAGCACGGCCCUGACGCGCAGGGCGACACACACGCUACAAUGGCCGGUACAACGGGUAGCCAAGCCGCGAGGCGGAGCCAAUCCCAACAAAGCCGGUCUCAGUUCGGAUUGCAGGCUGCAACUCGCCUGCAUGAAGUCGGAGUUGCUAGUAACCGCGGGUCAGCACACCGCGGUGAAUACGUUCCCGGGCCUUGUACACACCGCCCGUCACACCACGAAAGCGGGCAACACCUGAAGCCGCUGGGCUAACUGGGCAACCAGAGGCAGGCGUCGAGGGUGGGGUCGGUGAUUGGGGUGAAGUCGUAACAAGGUAGCCGUA
rnacentral:rRNA from 1 species